AAAAAAGGUAAGCUACUAAGAGCGAAUGGUGGAUGCCUUGACUGGUAAAGGCGAUGAAGGACGUACUAGACUGCGAUAAGCUACGGGGAGCUGUCAAGAAGCUUUGAUCCGUAGAUUUCCGAAUGGGGCAACCCAAUGUAUAGAGAUAUACAUUACCUAUAUAGGAGCGAACGAGGGGAAUUGAAACAUCUUAGUACCCUCAGGAAAAGAAAUCAAUAGAGAUUGCGUCAGUAGCGGCGAGCGAAAGCGCAAGAGGGCAAACCCAGUGCUUGCACUGGGGGUUGUAGGACUGCAAUGUGCAAGAGGUAAGUUUAGCAGAACAUUCUGGAAAGUAUAACCAUAGAGGGUGAUAGUCCCGUAUGCGAAAAACAAACCUUAGCUAGCAGUAUCCUGAGUAGGGCGGGACACGAGGAAUCCUGUCUGAAUCCGGGUCGACCACGAUCCAACCCUAAAUACUAAUACCAGAUCGAUAGUGCACAAGUACCGUGAGGGAAAGGUGAAAAGAACUGAGGUGAUCAGAGUGAAAUAGAACCUGAAACCAUUUGCUUACAAUCAUUCAGAGCCUUAUGUAGCAAUACAGGGUGAUGGACUGCCUUUUGCAUAAUGAGCCUGCGAGUUGUGGUGUCUGGCAAGGUUAAGCAAACGCGAAGCCGUAGCGAAAGCGAGUCUGAAUAGGGCGCUUAGUCAGAUGCUGCAGACCCGAAACGAAGUGAUCUAUCCAUGAGCAAGUUGAAGCUAGUGUAAGAACUAGUGGAGGACUGAACCCAUAGGCGUUGAAAAGCCCCGGGAUGACUUGUGGAUAGGGGUGAAAGGCCAAUCAAACUUCGUGAUAGCUGGUUCUCUCCGAAAUAUAUUUAGGUAUAGCGUUGUGUCGUAAUAUAAGGGGGUAGAGCACUGAAUGGGCUAGGGCAUACACCAAUGUACCAAACCCUAUCAAACUCCGAAUACCUUAUAUGUAAUCACAGCAGUCAGGCGGCGAGUGAUAAAAUCCGUCGUCAAGAGGGAAACAACCCAGACUACCAGCUAAGGUCCCUAAAUCUUACUUAAGUGGAAAACGAUGUGAAGUUACUUAAACAACCAGGAGGUUGGCUUAGAAGCAGCCAUCCUUUAAAGAAAGCGUAAUAGCUCACUGGUCUAGUGAUUUUGCGCGGAAAAUAUAACGGGGCUAAAGUAAGUACCGAAGCUGUAGACUUGCGCACAACUUAGAUUAUUUAAGUUUAGAAUAUGAGAAACUAAGUUAUAUGUUUAGUUAUAUUUUUACUGAUUUUUAUAGAGUAAAGAUAGAAAUAAAACUUAGUAAAAUCAGUAAAAAUAUUCUUAGACUAAAGUUAAGUAGUUUAAGUUGUGUGCAAGUGGUAGGAGAGCGUUCUAUUUGCGUCGAAGGUAUACCGGUAAGGAGUGCUGGAGCGAAUAGAAGUGAGCAUGCAGGCAUGAGUAGCGAUAAUUAAUGUGAGAAUCAUUAACGCCGUAAACCCAAGGUUUCCUACGCGAUGCUCGUCAUCGUAGGGUUAGUCGGGUCCUAAGUCGAGUCCGAAAGGGGUAGACGAUGGCA
rnacentral:rRNA from 1 species